CACCGGCGAGCGGCAGAUCUCGCGAGAUUCAUCACCAUGGCAGCGGCUGCAGCAGAAGCAACCGGCCAUGUGGUAUGGUUUUCUCCUGUGAUGCCCAGCAGUAGCAGUGAGUUGCAGCUCCUGGCCAGCUAUACCAUCACAAGGGUGUUCAAGGAGCAGAAGAGGAUGACAGCUCCCUGACAAGGCCCUCCUACUGUGGAGGAGAAAGCCACACAUCACAGACUCCACCUGACCCAAAGCUGUUUCCAGGUAGACACUUUGAGCUGCCAGGGGCCAAGAU